rnacentral:rRNA from 1 species
AGAGUUUGAUCCUGGCUCAGAUUGAACGCUGGCGGCAGGCCUAACACAUGCAAGUCGAGCGGUAGCACAGAGAGCUUGCUCUCGGGUGACGAGCGGCGGACGGGUGAGUAAUGUCUGGGAAACUGCCUGAUGGAGGGGGAUAACUACUGGAAACGGUAGCUAAUACCGCAUAAUGUCGCAAGACCAAAGAGGGGGACCUUCGGGCCUCUUGCCAUCAGAUGUGCCCAGAUGGGAUUAGCUAGUAGGUGGGGUAACGGCUCACCUAGGCGACGAUCCCUAGCUGGUCUGAGAGGAUGACCAGCCACACUGGAACUGAGACACGGUCCAGACUCCUACGGGAGGCAGCAGUGGGGAAUAUUGCACAAUGGGCGCAAGCCUGAUGCAGCCAUGCCGCGUGUAUGAAGAAGGCCUUCGGGUUGUAAAGUACUUUCAGCGGGGAGGAAGGUGUUGUGGUUAAUAACCACAGCAAUUGACGUUACCCGCAGAAGAAGCACCGGCUAACUCCGUGCCAGCAGCCGCGGUAAUACGGAGGGUGCAAGCGUUAAUCGGAAUUACUGGGCGUAAAGCGCACGCAGGCGGUCUGUCAAGUCGGAUGUGAAAUCCCCGGGCUCAACCUGGGAACUGCAUUCGAAACUGGCAGGCUAGAGUCUUGUAGAGGGGGGUAGAAUUCCAGGUGUAGCGGUGAAAUGCGUAGAGAUCUGGAGGAAUACCGGUGGCGAAGGCGGCCNUNNNGGACAAAGAC